rnacentral:rRNA from 1 species
GUGGGGAAUAUUGGACAAUGGGCGAAAGCCUGAUCCAGCCAUGCCGCGUGUGUGAAGAAGGUCUUCGGAUUGUAAAGCACUUUAAGUUGGGAGGAAGGGCAGUAAGUUAAUACCUUGCUGUUUUGACGUUACCGACAGAAUAAGCACCGGCUAACUUCGUGCCAGCAGCCGCGGUAAUACGAAGGGUGCAAGCGUUAAUCGGAAUUACUGGGCGUAAAGCGCGCGUAGGUGGUUUUGUAAGUUGGAGGUGAAAUCCACGGGCUCAACCUGGGAACUGCCUCCAAAACUGCAUGACUAGAGUACGGUAGAGGAUAGUGGAAUUUCCUGUGUAGCGGUGAAAUGCGUAGAUAUAGGAAGGAACACCAGUGGCGAAGGCGACUACCUGGACUGAUACUGACACUGAGGUGCGAAAGCGUGGGGAGCAAACAGGAUUAGAUACCCCAGUAGUCC